UUUCUUUUUAAUAUGUUGUGUACAGACUUAAUUACUUCUCUGUCUACUUUUCUUACUCCAUGUAGGUUUCCCAGAGACUAUGGGUUGAAGAGGAAGUGGAAGUUUGUCGGCUUAGACCUGGUGUCAUUCCAUCAGUGUUUAACUUCCCGGCUCAUCUUGUAGGGGCUUUCGACCGGGGUGGAGCCCGUUCAGAGUCUGAGCCGGUGCCCGACUUGGCGCCGGUUUUUUGUCUUUCCACCACCGGAGCUGCGGCUCCAAGCUCCAAAAACUGGGGCUGUUUCGGGCACCAACUCGUUGCUGGGCCAGACUUGGCCAGAGUUGAGAGCCGAGCAUGUCACGGGCAGGGGGCGUUGUGACAUCUAAAAACAUCUAAAAAGAUAAACAUAGAUAUGAUCAUCAACUUAUUGCGCGUGUUUAACCGCUAAGUAAUCAAUGCAAGCGUAGUCGAAGCUAAGUAGCUAAGCUAACGCUAGCACGUUUACUGUUAAGUAUCCAAACGUCUUUGAUAAUUACCUUUCUUGCCAAACGUGAUCGCCGGGCAUUGGAACGGCGAUGCCGAUGGGUAACCCCUAACAGAAGGUUUUGCUGUUCAGCGAUGGCGAGACACACUAGCAAAGCCAUGAACACCACUCCAAUGAAGUCCUCCAUUGUUGUUGUGUGGGUUUCCGUACGGCGCGAACGCUGUUGAACGGCUACGUACGCAGUGACGUACACACGUUUUGUGGUGGCGCAAUGACGCAGCUCCAACUUUGCUCCUUCCGAAUGGAAACACAAACCCGUUCUGGGGCGGCAUGAGAUUUGAACCAAAAAAGCACUGGCUCUCAACUUUGAACCAACCUAGCACCUGGUGCUCUUUGGUCAAAAGACCCUAUUGGAAGAGUACGUGCCAGAAAGACCACGACCAAGCAGCCUUGAGAUCUUAGGCAGCAUCUCCCUGAGACCAAAGAACUACAGACUCUUCACAACCUGCUCAAACUCUUGGUACAGGACCUCACCACACGGGUCAAGAA
ensembl:lncRNA